GUCUACGGCCAUACCACCCUCAACGUGCCCAAUUUUGUCUGAUCUCAGAAGCUAAGCAGGGUUGGGCCUGAUUAGUACUUGGAUGGGAGAAAUUACAGGAUAUAUAAACA
ensembl:rRNA 5S_rRNA 5S ribosomal RNA